rnacentral:snRNA from 1 species
UAGUGUUAGAGCUCUUUUAGAAUUUGUCUAGUAGGUUUUCCUUUUUUUUUCUUCCCAGAAACCGCCCCC